UUUUUUUUUUUUUUUUUUUGAGCAAGUCCCCAACCUCUCUAGCAUCACAGUCUCCUGCUGAUGAACUCUUCUCAACCGCCAAAAUGCUGCCAACUUCCAUUCUAAACCGUUACUUAAAACUUUAUCCACCGCGCUAGUAGCACGUAAUACCUCCGAUGCUUCAGCUUCCAGACAACUUUCCACGUUCAAAUCAAUACCCAGUCCCUUAUUCUCUCUAAACUCCACAGUUUCAUGAUUCAAAGACAAUUCUCCAGCGGUUUCGCGUGGUGGGCAUGAAGCAAUGGUUUGUAAACUAAAUUCCACAUUCAAAUCGAUACCCAGUCCCUUA
rnacentral:misc_RNA from 1 species